rnacentral:tRNA from 11 species
GGUGGGGUUCCCGAGCGGCCAAAGGGAGCAGACUGUAAAUCUGUCGUCAUCGACUUCGAAGGUUCGAAUCCUUCCCCCACCACCA